rnacentral:snRNA from 1 species
GUGCUCGCUUCAGCAGCACAUAUCCUAAAAUUGGAAUGAUACAGAAAAAGAUUAAACAAGGCCCCUACACAAAGAUGACAUGCAAAUUGGUAAAUGGUAUUGGAUUUGG